rnacentral:rRNA from 1 species
UACAGAGGUCCCAAGCGUUGUUCGGAUUCACUGGGCGUAAAGGGUGCGCAGGUGGUCGGGCAAGUCUGAUGUGAAAUCUCCGAGCUCAACUCGGAAAUGGCAUUGGAUACUAUUCGGCUAGAGGGUUGGAGGGGGGACUGGAAUUCUCGGUGUGGCAGUGAAAUGCGUAGAUAUCGAGAGGAACACCAGUGGCGAAGGCGAGUCCCUGGACAACUCCUGACGCUGAGGCACGAAAGCUAGGGGAGCAAACAGG